UACGUAGGGGGCAAGCGUUGUCCGGAUUUAUUGGGCGUAAAGAGCGUGUAGGCGGCCAAGCAGGUCCGCUGUGAAAACUCGAGGCUCAACCUCGAGAGGUCGGUGGAAACCGUUUGGCUAGAGUCCGGAAGAGGAGAGUGGAAUUCCCGGUGUAGCGGUGAAAUGCGCAGAUAUCGGGAAGAACACCCGUGGCGAAGGCAGCUCGCUGGGACGUGACUGACGCUGAGACGCGAAAGCGUGGGGAGCAAACAGG
rnacentral:rRNA from 1 species